rnacentral:miRNA from 1 species
GCUGACACAUCCCGGCCAAUCUCCAGCAGACCCUCCCUCCCAGACCCUCCAACCUCCUGGCCAGCAUCCAUGUUGAAGCUGCCUUCAACAUGGAUGCUGUCCAGGAGGUGGGAGGGUCUGGGAGGGAGGGUCUGCUGGAGAUUGGCCGGGACGUGUCAG